UCCCUGGAGGACUAGUGGUUAGGCCAUGGCACUGUCACUGCCAUGGCCCAGAUUCGAUUCCUGGCCAGGGGA
rnacentral:tRNA from 1 species